AGAAAAUACUUAUCCUAGGAAGAGCUUAAGUAUAUAAUAAUUAAUAAUCUCGGUGAGUUCUAACUAAUAUGUCGUGAAAACAGGGGCAGAGUGAAGACAAAGGAGAGGAAAUGCCAUGAAAUGAAACAAAGGACAUUUAAGACAAUUCAUAAAAAUCCCGCGUCAACCCCGGCGACUGGUCCAUAAAACGCUGCUUAAAUUGUUCAAUAACAGAGGCGAAGUGGUUGUGAAACCCUCAAGAACCUUCCUUUUAUGCUCCCUUGCUUUCUCCUUUUUAUUUCAAUCCUUGACACGCCCUCUUCAUUUCUCCUCUGCUAAAACCCUCUUCUCUCCUCUUUCCGCCUCACUAAACAUUCUCUCACUCAGCUAUUUCUCAGCUCUAUGGAAUCAGACCCACGGAAUCCCAACAACAAUGAAUACUCCAGCAGAGGCUAUGCUUUAAGCGGUAGGAUAAUGCUAAGCGCGAUUGUCAUCAUCUUCUUUGUGGUCAUUUUGAUGGUUUGCCUCCAUCUCUACGCCCGCUGGUACCUCUUCCAUGCUCGCCGCCGCCAAAUUCGCCGCGCCCGAACUCGCCGCACUAAUCUCGUCUUUUAUGUCGACCCCUCCAACCCCACUGCCACUCACGUCACCCAACCCUCCCGCGGCCUGGAUGGCGCAGUCCUAAAAUCGCUACCCGUAUUCUUUUAUUCAUCCAAGACCCACCCGGAUUCGAUAGAGUGUGCCGUUUGCCUAUCCGAAUUCGAAGAGAACGAAAAGGGUCGGACCCUACCCAAAUGCAACCAUAGCUUCCACAUCGAGUGCAUCGACAUGUGGUUCCAUUCUCACUCCACUUGCCCUCUUUGCCGCUCCCCUGUUGAACCCGUACCCGAAAAGCCUGCCCAGGUAGAUUCAUCGUCGGAGAUUAUUGAAAUCGGUUCCAGUUCCGGUUUGUGUUCCACUUGUCAGCACGAGGAAGAAAACGUGGGUGCAUCUACUUCAUCCUUUAUGGGUCGAAGAAAACCAGCGGAGCUGGUUGGCGUGACGAUAGAAGUACCCAGAAGAAAUGGGAAUUUCGAGAACGAGUCGGGAACCGAUUCACCAGCUUAUAGAUCGCCAAUGAGUCGUAUGUUGUCUUUUACGAGGAUACUGAGCAGAGAAAGAAGAGGAAAUCUGUCUCCUUGUGCAGGAAACCCAACGAGUUGGGGUGGGUCAGUGAGCGAGUCAGACCUGGAGAGAGGAAGAGAUGAGAUUCAGCAGACUCAGGAUAAAAUGGGUUGUAACUCGGUGGCAUGAGUCGAGUGGGACGUGGCAAUCAAGUUAUAAGGCGUUCAUUAAGAAACAUUCUAGCACAGUCAGACGUACGUAGGACUAGAGAGGACACGCCGUCGUGAGUUGCAGUGUUUGACUUUGACCUGUAUAUAAUUAAAUUCCCCAUUUAAUUGAUUUAAUUUUUUUUUCUUUUAUAGAGAUGGAUGUUUUAUGUUUAUUAGAAAAUGG
rnacentral:misc_RNA from 1 species